CCUACGGGUGGCAGCAGUGGGGAAUAUUGGGCAAUGGGCGCAAGCCUGACCCAGCAACGCCGCGUGAAGGAAGAAGGCUUUCGGGUUGUAAACUUCUUUUGUCAGGGACGAAGCAAGUGACGGUUCCUGACGUAUAAGCCACGGCUAACUACGUGCCAGCAGCCGCGGGAAUACGUAGGUGGCAAGCGUUAUCCGGAUUUACUGGGUGUAAAGGGCGUGUAGGCGGGAAUGCAAGUCAGAUGUGAAAACCACGGGCUCAACCUGUGGCGUGCAUUUGAAACUGUAGUGCUUGAGUACUGGAGAGGCAGGCGGAAUGCCUAGUGUAGCGGUGAAAUGCGUAGAUAUUAGGAAGAACACCAGUGGCGAAGGCGGUCUGCUGGACAGCAACUGACGCUGAGGCGCGAAAGCGUGGGGAGCAAACAGGAUUAGAUACCCGUGUAGUC
rnacentral:rRNA from 1 species